AUUGAACGCUGGCGGCAGGCCUAACACAUGCAAGUCGAACGGUAACAGGAAACAGCUUGCUGUUUCGCUGACGAGUGGCGGACGGGUGAGUAAUGACUGGGAAACUGCCUGAUGGAGGGGGAUAACUACUGGAAACGGUAGCUAAUACCGCAUAACGUCGCAAGACCAAAGAGGGGGACCCUCGGGCCUCUUGCCAUCGGAUGUGCCCAGAUGGGAUUAGCUUGUUGGUGGGGUAACGGCUCACCAAGGCGACGAUCCCUAGCUGGUCUGAGAGGAUGACCAGCCACACUGGAACUGAGACACGGUCCAGACUCCUACGGGAGGCAGCAGUGGGGAAUAUUGCACAAUGGGCGCAAGCCUGAUGCAGCCAUGCCGCGUGUAUGAAGAAGGCCUUCGGGUUGUAAAGUACUUUCAGCGUGGAGGAAGGGAGUAAAGUUAAUACCUUUGCUCAUUGACGUUACCCGCAGAAGAAGCACCGGCUAACUCCGUG
rnacentral:rRNA from 1 species